GCCUUUAUAAUGGGUUCUGGAUUUGAUCUAAUCAAAUCUAGUUCUAUGGAUUCACUAGAUUGUGUCAAUUCUUCUAUCUAUCAAACUUUAUAAGUUUUAUAUUAAAGGCAUCAGUAUCUUCAUCAAGGUACUCUUUUUCUAAAAGAAAUAUCGAUCAACUUUUGUUCUUUAGCAAGGUAGAAGUUAUAUCCCCUAGAUUCUUUGAGAUUAUCCUACAAAAUAAUACAUAUAGGAUCGAAAUUCAAGCUAAUCCGUCUGUAAAUACUUGACAUAAAAC
rnacentral:lncRNA from 1 species